UGCAGUCUUAUCGAUUUCAGUGUCCUGUCUUCAGUCGGUGCCACUGGCCAAAAUGGCUGCCACAAUGAUAGUGUCAUAGGCCUCAUUGGUUUAAACAUGAUCUCUGAGGAUAAAUAUGUACUACACACUU
ensembl:snoRNA Small nucleolar RNA SNORA5